rnacentral:rRNA from 1 species
CAGCCGCCACGGUAAUACGUAGGUGGCAAGCGUUGUCCGGAAUUGUUGGGCGUAAAGGGCUCGCAGGCGGUUUCUUAAGUCUGAUGUGAAAGCCCCCGGCUCAACCGGGGAGGGUCAUUGGAAACUGGGAAACUUGAGUGCAGAAGAGGAGAGUGGAAUUCCACGUGUAGCGGUGAAAUGCGUAGAGAUGUGGAGGAACACCAGUGGCGAAGGCGACUCUCUGGUCUGUAACUGACGCUGAGGAGCGAAAGCGUGGGGAGCGAACAGGAUUAGAAACCCCCGUAGUCCCUGUCUCUUAUAC